GGAAGGAAGAUUCUACCCGGCCCAGCCGCCAGCGCCUUCGCGCAGGCCGCCGACUUCACCUUCUCCUUCCUCCCCGACCCCAGCCGCUGGCGCGUCCGCGACGCCCGCGACGGUCGGAUCCUCCUCGCCCGGAAUGGCUCCUCCGAGGGUCUUGUGGUCUACGACCCCUUGCACCGCCAGUACGUCCAGAUUCCCCCCAUCCCCGCCGACCUAACGGCGUUCGCGGUGCCCUCGGGCUGUGUGCCUGGCAGUCUACCCUUGGGGAUCUACCACGAGCCCUUCCUCGCACCAGCUGGCUGGGAGGAGGAAUCGUCACUUCGGGUGUUCUGCAAUGUGCUGUCCAAAACCAAGAUUGUGACCUUCGUCUUCUCUUCAGUCACCCUACAAUGGCAAGCCAUCGCAUCUUUUGGCAUUGUUCAGUCCCAUGGUUGGGUGAGAUUGAUGAGAUUCCCUUCGUUUAUGAAGCGCCACUGCGCGCACGGCUGCUUCUACUGGACAGAGUAUAGUGAGGAGGCUAUGCUCGUGCUAGACACGCUUGAGAUGAAAUUCUCCAUAGUUGGCCUCCCGCCCGGAAACUUUAGGCGAUACAAAAGCAUUGUGGAGGCCGCUGAAGGCAGGCUUGGUUUGCUAACUCUUGCUCAUUGUGAGCUCCGCCUCUAUACCAAGCCUAGGCGAGACAGUGGUGCUGGCGCAGAAGAGUGGUGGUACGAUGGUAUAAUUCCCUUGUCCAACUGUUACUGGUCCAUCUCAAGUGGAGGUGCACCCGAGGGGUAUGUACUCCUACGAGGGAUGACACGAGACCAGCACCACUCAAGGAAAUCUCCUGGGGGAAUACCAGAUGUGCAGUAUUUCACAUUGCAGAUCAAGACAAUGCUGUUGGAGAGGUUGUGUGUGUUGAAAUUCGAAGCUAGCGUUGAUUUCCUGUAUGCAAGCUUCCCACCACCAUUGUCACCUCCAAGUAUAUGAAAUGGACGGCGCUCAUAAUGGGAGCUGAAGCGCUGAAGAAUACAGCUUUAUCUUUACAUCCGCAAGAGCCCCUGAUGGAGGACACGGGAAUGGUGUUGCUGAAUUGAUGAAGCAAGAACAUGGGGGGGGGGGGGGGGGGGGGGGAUUACCCCCGAUCAAGUUGGGGGAGAAUGAAAAUCAUCUACUUCUUCUCUGUUAGUCUAAAGUCCUAGUUGCCAGCUUUUUGGCUUACAGCCCUCUGUGCUGUUGUACGAGAGUAGACUCUCAGGUGGUGGCUUAAAUGUUUCCUCUUCAUCAGUGUGACGGUGUAAUCUUCGUUCCCAAUCAACGCACUGAUCAAGAUCAAGGCGACAGGGGCAACUUUGCUUCAAGGCGACGGCCGCUGCUCCUGGAUAUGCAUAUCUGUAGUUUGAUCAGCUGUUCGUUGCUCGUGUUUCUGCAGACUGAAAGUCUUGUAAUUUGUUACCCUUGCUGUUCCGUUGGUGCAAGACCUCCCUCAUGCCCGUAUGUGCUGCACCCUGCAGCUCAGCUGCCCCAGAUGUAUGCUGUUAAAGUUUGUGAUCGUGGAGAUUUGCCCGGUGCGAUCCCCAGUA